rnacentral:rRNA from 1 species
AUACGUGGAGGGCAAGCGUUAUUCGGAAUCACUGGGCGUAAAGGACGCGUAGGCGGGUUGGCAAGUCAGAUGGGAAAUCCUACAGCUUAACUGUAGAACUGCAUUUGAAACUGCUAACCUAGAGUAUGGGAGGGGGAGAUGGAAUUAGUGGUGUAGGGGUAAAAUCCGUAGAUAUCACUAGGAAUACCGAAAGCGAAGGCGAUCUCCUGGAACAUAACUGACGCUAAGGCGUGAAAGCGUGGGGAGCAAACAGGAUUAGAUACCCUAGUAGUCC